AAUAGAUUGUUGCUAAGAGAUAAUAUUCAGAGAAUCUUACAGUUGGAGAGGUUUUGGACGUCAUCUAGUCUACUCUCUAACCCAUUUCUCAGGAAUUGACUCCUACAUUCCUGAUGGCCUGAAUUCCACCGUGAGUCAGAACACUCUCAGCAAUGAGAGACUGUUCAGUGGGCCAGCCUUAGACUUGAGACUUACAUAUCCGCAGUCAUGGAAAUAACACUGUCUAUUUCUUGCUGAACAAUCGGGGUUUUGCUUCAUCAUUGAGCUUGUCCUGCCAGCCUCCACCAGUUCCUGAAGAGAACAGGCCAAAGUGUGGAACAUACAGGAUGAAGCGAUUACAACCUGGGCGCAGUAUACUGGCUGGCUUUGCUGCUCACUCCCUUACGAAUAGCUGUGAUGGGAUAUGAAAUCCAAGGGAACUGUUAGCCCCCCAGAGCAGCUGCUCCCACCGACCCUGCUCCAAGAGUGCUGGGAUGUCCGCUGGCCUCGAGGCAAGACAAGAGCUCCAAUCACUCUGCUGCAAGCGCCACCAUUAAAGUCAAGAUCACUGUGGUGGGGGGAGUUGAAGUGUGCAUUCCAGCAUGCUCAUGAUCUUACUGACCUUCUCCACUGAUGAAUUAGAACACCCCUCUUCCCAGGCACAGGACGAGUUCAGUGCCUCUCUGUUUCUUGAUGGACCCCAAUAAAAAAACGCCUGCACUGUU
rnacentral:lncRNA from 1 species